AAGACCCUAGUAAAAAUAAUACCUUGUCUUGUCAAGACAAAAUUGUGGGUUAGACUCCCACGAGUCUUA
rnacentral:tRNA from 1 species